AACGAACGCUGGCGGCAUGCCUAACACAUGCAAGUCGAACGAUUGCCUUCGGGUGAUAGUGGCGCACGGGUGCGUAACGCGUGGGAAUCUGCCCUUAGGUUCGGAAUAACAGCUGGAAACGGCUGCUAAUACCGGAUGAUAUCGCGAGAUCAAAGAUUUAUCGCCUGAGGAUGAGCCCGCGUUGGAUUAGGUAGUUGGUGGGGUAAAGGCCUACCAAGCCGACGAUCCAUAGCUGGCCUGAGAGGAUGAUCAGCCACACUGGGACUGAGACACGGCCCAGACUCCUACGGGAGGCAGCAGUGGGGAAUAUUGGACAAUGGGCGCAAGCCUGAUCCAGCAAUGCCGCGUGAGUGAUGAGGGCCCUAGGGUUGUAAAGCUCUUUUACCCGGGAAGAUAAUGACUGUACCGGGAGAAUAAGCCCCGGCUAACUCCGUG
rnacentral:rRNA from 1 species